rnacentral:rRNA from 1 species
AUUGAACGCUGGCGGCAUGCCUUACACAUGCAAGUCGAACGGUAACGCGGGGCAACCUGGCGACGAGUGGCGAACGGGUGAGUAAUGCAUCGGAACGUGCCCAGUAGUGGGGGAUAGCCCGGCGAAAGCCGGAUUAAUACCGCAUACGACCUACGGGUGAAAGCGGGGGACCGUAAGGCCUCGCGCUGUUGGAGCGGCCGAUGUCAGAUUAGGUAGUUGGUGGGGUAAAGGCCUACCAAGCCUUCGAUCUGUAGCUGGUCUGAGAGGACGACCAGCCACACUGGGACUGAGACACGGCCCAGACUCCUACGGGAGGCAGCAGUGGGGAAUUUUGGACAAUGGGCGCAAGCCUGAUCCAGCCAUGCCGCGUGCGGGAA